rnacentral:lncRNA from 10 species
AAUGUUUUCAUUUCUUUCUUUGUUGAUUUCAAAUAGAUCAGAGGUUGGAUUUAUGCAAACCUGGGCCAAAGGACAGUUAGAAGACGUGCUGAUGGGCCCGUGCAACAGUUGCUGGUAAAUGGCUGAUUAAAAAGCACAGAAAGCCGAACAAGACCCAACCAAAUUUGUGGUCAGAAUCGUUGCCAGACUUGUCCGGGGGAGGCUGGCUGGAGAAUGAAGGGAAUGAAUGAAGUGUCAGCCUCUCCUCUCAGGCUGGAGCGCAGUGGCACGAUUCCAACUCAUGGCAACCUCCACCUCCUGGGUCAAGUGAUUCUCCUGCUUCAGCCUCCUGAGUAGCUGGGAUUACGGGCACCUGCCACCACACCCAGCUAAUUUCUGUAUUUUUACAAAAAUUUGGACUCUGCUUAGAUUGGCUUAGUUUUCUCUUUAGUCAAAUCUUCAGGAACCAAUUUAUUACCAUUAAAAAUGAUCUAACAA